rnacentral:tRNA from 1 species
GCUGAAGUGGUGGAAUUGGUAGACACGUUGGACUUAAAAUCCAAUGGCCUUAGGUAGUGCGGGUUCAAGUCCCGCCUUCAGUA